rnacentral:rRNA from 1 species
AGGAGGUUUUCCAUCCUUGGGCUCAGGACGAACGCUGGCGGCGUGCCUAAUACAUGCAAGUCGAGCGGACAGAUGGGAGCUUGCUCCCUGAAGUUAGCGGGCGGACGGGUGAGUAACACGGGGGCCACCCUGCCUGUAAAUGGGAAUAACUCCGGGAAACCGGGGCUAAUACCGGAUAAUUCUUAUCCUCUCAUGAGGAUAAGCUGAAAGACGGCCUCUCGCUGUCACUUACAGAUGGGCCCGCGGCGCAUUAGCUAGUUGGUGAGGUAACGGCUCACCAAGGCAACGAUGCGUAGCCGACCUGAGAGGGUGAUCGGCCACACUGGGACUGAGACACGGCCCAGACUCCUACGGGAGGCAGCAGUAGGGAAUCUUCCGCAACGGACGAAAGUCUGACGGAGCAACGCCGCGUGAGCGAUGAAGGCCUUCGGGUCGUAAAGCUCUGUUGUUAGGGAAGAACAAGUAUCGGAGUAACUGCCGGNCCUUGG